UACAGAGGUCUCAAGCGUUGUUCGGAUUCAUUGGGCGUAAAGGGUGCGAGUAGGCGGCGCGGUAAGUCGGGUGUGAAAGUCUCGGAGCUUAACUCCGAAACUGCAUUCGAUACUGCCGUGCUUGAGGACUGGAGAGGAGACUGGAAUUUACGGUGUAGCUGGUGAAAUGCGUAGAUAUCGUAAGGAAGACCAGUGGCGAAGGCGGGUCUCUGGACAGGUUCCUGACGCUGAGGCACGAAAGCGUGGGGAGCAAACAGGA
rnacentral:rRNA from 1 species